GACAGAGGUGUCAAGCGUUAGGCGGAAUCACUGGGCUUAAAGCGUGUGUAGGCGGAUAUCUAAGUACCUUGUGAAAUCCCACGGCUCAACCGUGGAACUGCUUGGUAUACUGGGUGUCUUGAGCCAUCUAGGGGCUACCGGAACAAAUGGUGGAGCGGUGAAAUGCGUAGAUAUCAUUUGGAACGCCAAUGGUGAAAACAGGUAGCUGGGGCUGCGCUGACGCUGAGACACGAAAGCCAGGGGAGCGAACGGG
rnacentral:rRNA from 1 species